AGUGAACGCUGGCGGUAGGCCUAACACAUGCAAGUCGAACGGCAGCACAGUAAGAGCUUGCUCUUACGGGUGGCGAGUGGCGGACGGGUGAGGAAUACAUCGGAAUCUACUUUUUCGUGGGGGAUAACGUAGGGAAACUUACGCUAAUACCGCAUACGACCUACGGGUGAAAGCAGGGGAUCUUCGGACCUUGCGCGAUUGAAUGAGCCGAUGUCGGAUUAGCUAGUUGGCGGGGUAAAGGCCCACCAAGGCGACGAUCCGUAGCUGGUCUGAGAGGAUGAUCAGCCACACUGGAACUGGGACACGGUCCAGACUCCUACGGGAGGCAGCAGUGGGGAAUAUUGGACAAUGGGCGCAAGCCUGAUCCAGCCAUACCGCGUGGGUGAAGAAGGCCUUCGGGUUGUAAAGCCCUUUUGUUGGGAAAGAAAAGCAGCAGGUUAAUACCCCGCUGUUCCGACGGUACCCAAAGAAUAGGCACCGGCUAACUUCGUG
rnacentral:rRNA from 1 species